CUAUUAUAUCAAGCAACUCUCCCCCUUCCGGAUUCUUGUUAUUGGUAUUUACAGGACUCAGUGAUUUGAUGACUAAUGGACAUAUUUAAAGGGCAUCUGCUACUUACUGACCAUGGAGACAAAAAUAAGUAAAUAAAAUUUGUUACUGUUGGCAA